rnacentral:rRNA from 1 species
GACGAACGCUGGCGGCGCGCUUAACACAUGCAAGUCGAACGGAAAGGCCUGCUUUCCCUUGUGGAUUGCGGGUACUCGAGUGGCGAACGGGUGAGUAACACGUGAGUGAUCUGCCCCCAACUUGGGUAUAAGCCUGGGAAACUGGGUCUAAUUCCCGAUAGGACUGCAGGGUGGUGCCUGUGGUGGAAAACGAUUUUCUAGUGGUUGGGGAUGAGCUCGCGGCCUAUCAGCUUGUUGGUGGGGUAAUGGCCUACCAAGGCGGCGACGGGUAGCCGGCCUGAGAGGGUGGACGGCCACAUUGGGACUGAGAUACGGCCCAGACUCAUACGGGAGGCAGCAGUGGGGAAUAUUGCACAAUGGGCGGAAGCCUGAUGCAGCGACGCCGCGUGGGGGAUGACGGCCUUCGGGUUGUAAACUCCUUUCGACCGCGAGGAAGCCACCUGGUUGGAAGGGUGGUGACGGUAGUGGUAGAAGAAGCACCGGCUAACUACGUG